GAUGAACGCUAGCUACAGGCUUAACACAUGCAAGUCGAGGGGCAGCAUGGUCUUAGCUUGCUAAGGCCGAUGGCGACCGGCGCACGGGUGAGUAACACGUAUCCAACCUGCCGUCUACUCUUGGACAGCCUUCUGAAAGGAAGAUUAAUACAAGAUGGCAUAGUUUUCCCGCAUGGGAUAAUUAUUAAAGAAUUUCGGUUGUCGAUGGGGAUGCGUUCCAUUAGGCAGUUGGCGGGGUAACGGCCCACCAAACCUACGAUGGAUAGGGGGUUCUGAGAGGAAGGUCCCCCCACAUUGGAACUGAGACACGGUCCAAACUCCUACGGGAGGCAGCAGUGAGGAAUAUUGGUCAAUGGACGAGAGUCUGAACCAGCCAAGUAGCGUGAAGGAUGACUGCCCUAUGGGUUGUAAACUUCUUUUAUACGGGAAUAAAGUUAGCCACGUGUGGUUUUUGUAUGUACCGUAUGAAUAAGGAUUCGGCUAACUCCGUG
rnacentral:rRNA from 1 species